rnacentral:rRNA from 1 species
AGAGUUUGAUCCUGGCUCAGGAUGAACGCUAGCGGGAGGCUUAACACAUGCAAGUCGAGGGGUAACAGGAGAGAAUUUCGGUUUUCUUGCUGACGACCGGCGCACGGGUGAGUAACGCGUAUGCAACCUGCCUUCUACAGGAGGAUAGCUUUCGGAAACGGAAAUUAAUACUCCAUAACGAUAUAUUUUGGCAUCACUAUAUACUUAAAGCUUCGGCGGUAGGAGAUGGGCAUGCGUAACAUUAGUUAGUUGGUGAGGUAACGGCUCACCAAGGCGACGAUGUUUAGGGGACCUGAGAGGGUGAUCCCCCACACUGGUACUGAGACACGGACCAGACUCCUACGGGAGGCAGCAGUGAGGAAUAUUGGUCAAUGGGCGCAAGCCUGAACCAGCCAUCCCGCGUGCAGGAAGACGGCCCUAUGGGUUGUAAACUGCUUUUUUAAGGGAAGAAUAUCCCCGUCGUGACGGGGUUUGACGGUACCUUACGAAUAAGCAUCGGCUAACUCCGUGCCAGCAGCCGCGGUAAUACGGAGGAUGCAAGCGUUAUCCGGAUUUAUUGGGUUUAAAGGGUGCGUAGGCGGACUAACAAGUCAGUGGUGAAAUCUUACGGCUCAACCGUGAAACUGCCAUUGAAACUGUUAUUCUUGAGUUCGGCUGAGGUAGGCGGAAUGUGUAAUGUAGCGGUGAAAUGCUUAGAUAUUACACAGAACACCAAUUGCGUAGGCAGCUUACUAGACCGAAACUGACGCUGAGGCACGAAAGCGUGGGUAGCGAACAGGAUUAGAUACCCUGGUAGUCCACGCCGUAAACUAUGAUUACUCGUUGUUGGCGAUACACAGUCAGCGACCAAGCGAAAGCGAUAAGUAAUCCACCUGGGGAGUACGCUCGCAAGAGUGAAACUCAAAGGAAUUGACGGGGGCCCGCACAAGCGGUGGAACAUGUGGUUUAAUUCGAUGAUACGCGAGGAACCUUACCUGGGCUUAAAUGUAGACUGCAUAAUUGGGAAACCAGUUUUUCUUUUAGACUGUUUACAAGGUGCUGCAUGGUUGUCGUCAGCUCGUGCCGUGAGGUGUCGGGUUAAGUCCCAUAACGAGCGCAACCCUUAUCGUUAGUUGCCAUCGGGUCAUGCCGGGGACUCUAACGAAACUGCCACCGUAAGGUGAGAGGAAGGUGGGGAUGACGUCAAAUCAGCACGGCCCUUAUGUCCAGGGCUACACACGUGUUACAAUGGCCGAUACAGAGGGCAGCUACCGGGUGACCGGAUGCCAAUCUCGAAAGUCGGUCCAAGUUCGGAUCGGAGUCUGCAACUCGACUUCGUGAAGCUGGAAUCGCUAGUAAUCGCGCAUCAGCCAUGGCGCGGUGAAUACGUUCCCGGGCCUUGUACACACCGCCCGUCAAGCCAUGGAAGCUGGGGGUGCCUGAAGUCCGUAACCGUAAGGAGCGGCCUAGGGUAAAACUAGUGACUGGGGCUAAGUCGUAACAAGGUA